rnacentral:rRNA from 1 species
AACGAACGCUGGCGGCAGGCUUAACACAUGCAAGUCGAACGGGCCCUUCGGGGUCAGUGGCAGACGGGUGAGUAACGCGUGGGAACGUGCCUUUCAGUUUGGGAUAACCCAGGGAAACUUGGGCUAAUACCGGAUACGUGCGCGACUAGAAAGAGUUAUCGCUGAAGGAUAGGCCCGCGUCCGAUUAGCUGGUUGGUAGGGUAAUGGCCUACCAAGGCGUCUAUCAGUAGCUGGUCUGAGAGGAUGAUCAGCCACAUUGGGACUGAGACACGGCCCAAACUCCUACGGGAGGCAGCAGUGGGGAAUAUUGGACAAUGGGCGCAAGCCUGAUCCAGCCAUGCCGCGUGAGUGAUGAAGGCCUUAGGGUUGUAAAGCUCUUUCAGUGGGGACGAUAAUGACGGUACCCGCAGAAGAAGCCCCGGCUAACUACGUGCCAGCCGCCGCCGUAA